rnacentral:lncRNA from 1 species
CAAGAUAAUAUGUGAAGGCAAGGAAAUGGUUGAGCUGCAGAUGUUUGAAACAACUUCUCCCCAAGCCAGUGCUGGUGACAGUCCAAAGCCAAUUCAAAGUCAUAUCCAAGAUCAAGAUCAACCCCAGAAUGAAUCUUUCGGAUGUGGAUGCUUUAAACCCAGAGUCAUGCAGUAAAUCGUCAACAAUCUGCAUUAAUUAGGAUCAACCCCAGAAUGAAUCUUUAUGUGGAUGCUUUAAACCCAGAGUCAUGCAGUAAUCUUCAACAAUCUGCAUUAGAUCAAUACCAAAAAUUCAAGGCUAGAUGUCAAUUUCAAGUAUUAUCACUAAACCUGCCCCAGGGUUUAUUAUA